rnacentral:rRNA from 1 species
GACGAACGCUGGCGGCGUGCUUAACACAUGCAAGUCGAGCGGUAAGGCCCUUUCGGGGGUACACGAGCGGCGAACGGGUGAGUAACACGUGGGUGACCUGCCCUCAGCUCUGGGAUAAGCCUGGGAAACCGGGUCUAAUACUGGAUAUGACUCCAUGACGCAUGUUGUGGGGUGAAAGCCUUGUGCGGCUGAGGAUGGGCCCGCGGCCUAUCAGCUUGUUGGUGGGGUGACG